CUUAUCCAGAGUGGUUGAGGGACGGGCCCGAUGAAACCCGGCAACCGGUCGCGCAAUGCGGCAGUGGUGCCAAUUCCCGCAGCGUGUUUCACGCUGAAAGAUGAGG
rnacentral:ncRNA from 1 species